AGCAGCCGCGGUAAUUCCAGCUCCAAUAGCGUAUAUUAAAGUUGUUGCAGUUAAAAAGCUCGUAGUUGAAUUUCGGGGUUAGUAGGUUGGUCAUGCCUCUGGUAUGUACUGGUCUCACUGAUUCCUCCUUCCUGAUGAGCCGUAAUGCCAUUAAUUUGGUGUUGCGGGGAAUUUGGACUGUUACUUUGAAAAAUUAGAGUGUUUAAAGCAAGCUAACGCUUGAAUACAUUAGCAUGGAAUAAUGAAAUAGGACGUUCGAUCCUAUUUUGUUGGUUUCUAGGAUUGACGUAAUGAUUAAUAGGGAUAGUUGGGGGCAUUAGUAUUCAAUUGUCAGAGGUGAAAUUCUUGGAUUUAUUGAAGACUAACUACUGCGAAAGCAUUUGCCAAGGAUGUUUUCAUUAAUCAAGAACGAAAGUUAGGGGAUCGAAGACGAUCAGAUACCGUCGUAGUCUUAACCAUAAACUAUGCCGACUAGGGAUCGGGAUGAUGUUUAAUUUUUAAUGACUCA
rnacentral:rRNA from 1 species